rnacentral:misc_RNA from 1 species
CCGCUAUUGUCCUUCACUUCCCUGCAAGUUCUGUAAACAAGAUCUGGGGCAAUAUCAUUGAUGGGUUCAGGACCCUCUCCAAGCGUACCAUUAUAAAAGGCACAAGUUUUUGCAGAAGUUGAGGAAAUUACAUAAUCAUCAUCUUGCAGCCAAUUCCUCCAAAGGGAGUCACUGGACUCCUUAAUCUCUAGACCUCCAACGUUGAUCCUGUAAAUUGUUUGUAAAGCCUCA